rnacentral:rRNA from 1 species
UACGGAGGGGGCUAGCGUUGUUCGGAAUUACUGGGCGUAAAGCGCACGUAGGCGGCUUUGUAAGUUAGAGGUGAAAGCCCAGGGCUUAACCCUGGAAUUGCCUUUAAGACUGCAUCGCUCGAAUUGUGGAGAGGUGAGUGGAAUUCCGAGUGUAGAGGUGAAAUUCGUAGAUAUUGGGAAGAACACCGGUGGCGAAGGCGGCUCACUGGCUCAUUACUGACGCUCAGGCGCGAUAGCGUGGGGAUCAAACAGG